rnacentral:lncRNA from 1 species
CAAUGUAGUACAUGAGGUUAAUCGAUCCAAAUGGGUGUGUUGUAAACAAGCAAGAUAUAACAUAACUUAUCAAGUCAAGCCAAUCAGUUGAAAGUUUGGUUUUAAGAAUUCUAAUGCAUAAAAGUAAACUACAGAAUGAUAAACUAAAAGAUCUAAGAACAGUACAGAAGAUCAACUAAAGGAUCUAAGAGAACUACUGAACGAAACUAAGAAUGCAAGAACUACAAAAGCAAUAUUGAAAGCAGAAAUGAAA